UACGUAGGGUGCAAGCGUUGUCCGGAAUUAUUGGGCGUAAAGAGCUCGUAGGCGGUUUGUCGCGUCUGCUGUGAAAACUCGGGGCUUAACUCCGGGCCUGCAGUGGGUACGGGCAGACUAGAGGUAGGCAGGGGAGAGCGGAACUCCUGGUGUAGCGGUGGAAUGCGCAGAUAUCAGGAAGAACACCGGUGGCGAAGGCGGCUCUCUGGGCCUUACCUGACGCUGAGGAGCGAAAGCGUGGGUAGCGAACAGG
rnacentral:rRNA from 1 species